rnacentral:rRNA from 1 species
CCCUACGGGGUGCAGCAGGCGCGAAAACUUUACAAUGCGGGAAACCGUGAUAAGGGGACACCGAGUGCCAGCAUCAUAUGCUGGCUGUCCGGGUGUGUAAAAUACACCUGUUAGCAAGGGCCGGGCAAGACCGGUGCCAGCCGCCGCGGUAACACCGGCGGCCCGAGUGGUGAUCGUGAUUAUUGGGUCUAAAGGGUCCGUAGCCGGUUUGGUCAGUCCUCCGGGAAAUCUGAUAGCUCAACUAUUAGGCUUUCGGGGGAUACUGCCAGACUUGGAACCGGGAGAGGUAAGAGGUACUACAGGGGUAGGAGUGAAAUCUUGUAAUCCCUGUGGGACCACCUGUGGCGAAGGCGUCUUACCAGAACGGGUUCGACGGUGAGGGACGAAAGCUGGGGGCACGAACCGGAUUAGAUACCCGGGUAGUCCCAGCCGUAAACGAUGCUCGCUAGGUGUCAGGCAUGGCGCGACCGUGUCUGGUGCCGCAGGGAAGCCGUGAAGCGAGCCACCUGGGAAGUACGGCCGCAAGGCUGAAACUUAAAGGAAUUGGCGGGGGAGCACAACAACGGGUGGAGCCUGCGGUUUAAUUGGACUCAACGCCGGACAACUCACCGGGGACGACAGCAAUAUGUAGGCCAGGCUGAAGACCUUGCCUGAAUCACUGAGAGGAGGUGCAUGGCCGUCGCCAGUUCGUACUGUGAAGCAUCCUGUUAAGUCAGGCAACGAGCGAGACCC